UCAAUUAUAUAAUGUUAGAACCAACAGUGAGCUUAGAGAUCGUCGGGUCCAGUUCUCCCAGUUCACAGAAGAGGACAAUGAGGCCCACAAGGGUUAAAAGUGAGUUGGUGAAGGUCAUACAGAAACAUGAAAGAUAACAAAGACUCUUCAUUUCUGAUCCAGGAUUCUUUCUGCUACACCAUAUUCUCUACUAAAACAAUGACAGGUUUAAUAAUUAGAAAAUUCCAUUUAAUCCUUUAAAUAAACGAGUUAAAUAAGCAUAUUGGUAUUAUCAUUUCUACCUCACAGAGAGGAGACAGAAUGACGUGACUUGCCCAAGGUCCUACAAACAGAAGAACAAAGACUAGAAAUUAAAUGCCUGCUUCCAAAGCCCAAGCUCUGUUUCAAGGUAAAACCCUCAGCACUGAAGACAAGAGACCACAGUUGGGGCUGCAAGUUGCCCCACGCCUUCCCAGAUUGUUACCUUCUAUCCAGAGUUUAGAUUCUCAAGUUUUCCUCCUCCGCCCUCAGUCCCACCCACCACUUUAUAUCACUGACUCUGCUCCCUCAUCUGGCACAACACACGCCCAAGGCCUGAGUCUCGGCUCUCUUCCUAAACCCUUUUGUGAAGUAGUGUCCAGUGUCCAUGGCCUAUUCCCCCAACUCAACCUGAGAGGCAGAGGGACAAAGAAAUCAAUUCGCAGAAUCUUUCCAGGAGCGCCCGUCGGAAGUAGCCAAUCACGUACGCAAAACUCCGUGACGUCAUCGGCUGCUGAGCAGAGUCCGGAGCUGCUCCUUGUCCCGGGGCCGGAGUCCCGGCAGAACUUCGCCAAUCGUCACCUCCUCGCGCCGGCUCCGGAGCCAGCGGAGGUGGGGGUUGGGAGAGGAAAGGACGAGAAGAGGGUGGUGGGACCAAGGAAGAUGGGUGGGGGUGGGGUGGGGAGGGUACGGGGUGGCAUGGGUGGCAGGCCAAAAAGUUAAGUGGGAAAUGGGCUUAGGGUCCACGAGAAGAAAGGGAACGAGGGAGAGAUCUGCCGAAUCAAAGGGAAAGAAGGGUGAGGGACAGGAGGGCGUGGGGGAGGGGAGAAGGGAGACAGAUGGGGGAAGGGAGAGGGUGUUAGAAGGAGUCCUUAGUCUCCGGAGAGGGCUCUAAAGACAGCUUCGGAGACGCCGUUGCUCUUCAGUCUUUCUCAGACAUCCUGCAGGAGUUUGGAGACUUGACUCUACUCCGGAACAGGAGAAGCACUGAUGCCCAAAUGGGGAGAGGGGUACAGCAGAGAAAAAUGUAUCUGUAGCAGGUAGAAGUCGACAGGAGAGGGGACAAGGAAAGUGCUGACAAGGAGAGGCAGAAAAGACGAGGAUGGGAGAAAAAAAGGCGGCCAGGAUGAGGUCGCCGAGGGUGCUCAGAGACUCACCCUGGGGUCCAGGCUCUCACCCUGCUAUCUUCUGUGGACCUCAAGCAUGGAGGCAACUGGAAGUUGGUGUACUUCCUUCCCUUCCUGUGGCUCCUCAGGGCAGGCUCCUGUCCCCUCACAGGCAACAUGAUCCCCUAAUGGAUCUCCUCACUCAGCUCAGGUUAUUUUUUGUGACCUAAGGACAAGAAGCUUUUGAUUCCAGUACAUAUUAUUUGGACUUCAAGAAAGCAGCGAUGGCAAGGGGUACCAAAAUCACUUGUAAGAAUUUUCAGAGCAAUGGUACAACGACCUGGUCUGCUGUUUCAGAGUGACCAGAACACCAAAAAGAUGCCAUCUGUGGAAUUUUAUGGCUGCAGAACUAUGAGUCAUUCUUCAAGUAAAUAGUGACUGUCUCCAACAAGGCACUGUUGAAAUUAGAUUUGGACCUCCUUUCUUGCUCAGUUGGAAGAGGAGAGAGAGGAAGAGAGAGAACAAGAACCUAAGGAUAGUGAACUGUCUCAUUUAUUGUCAGUCUAGGGUAGAGGAUUUCAAAGUGUAUGUAGCAGAACCUCUGUGCCUUAAGGAUUAGGGGAAGUACAGGGGAAG